rnacentral:rRNA from 1 species
CAUUGGAACGAUGGCUAAUACCGGAUAAGCCGGAAGGUAAAAGAUUAAUUGCCUAGGGAAGAGCUCGCGUCUGAUUAGCUAGUUGGUGAGGUAAAAGCUCACCAAGGCAUCGAUCAGUAGCUGGUCUGAGAGGAUGACCAGCCACACUGGGACUGAGACACGGCCCAUACUCCUACGGGAGGCAGCAGUGGGGAAUUUUCCGCAAUGGGCGAAAGCCUGACGGAGCAAGACCGCGUGAGGGAGGAAGGCUCUUGGGUUGUAAACCUCUUUUCUUGGGGAAGAACAAAAUGACGGUACCCAAGGAAUCACCAUCGGCUAACUCCGUGCCAGCAGCCGCGGUAAUACGGAGGAUGCAAGCGUUAUCCGGAAUUAUUGGGCGUAAAGCGUCCGCAGGUGGCACUUCAAGUCUGCUGUCAAAGACCGGGGCUUAACCCUGGAGAGGCAGUGGAAACUGAAGCGCUAGAGUGUCGUAGGGGUAGAGGGAAUUCCUGGUGUAGCGGUGAAAUGCGUAGAGAUCAGGAAGAACAUCGGUGGCGAAAGCGCUCUACUGGACGACAACUGACACUCAGGGACGAAAGCUAGGGGAGCGAAUGGGAUUAGAUACCAGUAAUUUCCACCCGCUUUACNACCCCGUCCG